GGAAAUUGUGUGUGUUCUGCUCUUUCCUGCAGAUUCAAUGUGGUCCGUCUUCCCCGCACAAUGGCUUUGUAUUGCUGAAGGAAGCGGAAGUACAGAGACAGACCAGAAGGAAAUUGUGUGUGUUCUGCUCUUUCCUGCAGAAUAAAUAAGUAUUGGGAAAAUACA